rnacentral:lncRNA from 1 species
AUAAGAAAAUUGAGACUCAGAGCAUUUAAGCAGCCAGCCUGGAGUCACAGAGAUUUAAGUCUCAGAGCCAGCACUCAGGAUGAGUGCCAAUGGAAGCCUGUCCUUGGAGUCCAGAAUGAACGUCAGAAGCAACCCAGCCACAGCAGGAGACUGUCCAUGAAUGUCAUCUGGCUGAACCUAAAGCAUGUUGCAGCUUUCAUCUUGAACUCUGACUUGACUUCUCAUCUUUCUUCACACUCUUGGAUGCUCCCCAGCCUAGUUAUGAAAUGGCCCUCACUUUGUUUUAUCCUCUUGGCAUUGGCCUCCCAAGAACCCUCCUCAGCUUCUGAUUCCUCGCUGGCCUAGUGCUCAGCCUAAGAUAUGACUCUGGGUCCCUGGAAACUGCUGAGUCAAAAAAGUGACAAAAGACAGCAAGAGCCUAGAAUACAAGGAAGUAUAAAGAGCAACAUCUACUAUAUUUACUAAUUGCCCUGCUUCUGUAGUCUCCAGCAUCUCUCCUUGCACAGAAAACCAUCAUGAAGCAGGGGCUCAAUGUAUAAACCAAAUUUGGCUAGACCUGAGAUCGGUUGGUCAAUCAUCUUACAAAAAUAUAAUUGUGCAAAAUCCUGUCUUAGGAAGAAUCGACAAGAAACACAAAAAUAACAUUGUACAUAUAAUAAAAGGCAAAACAACCACACUAGAAAUGGACUAAAGGCAGGCUAAACUGCCUGAAUAAAAAGAGAAAAUAACUGACUUCUGGGCUCUGUGGUACAGUUAACAAACCAGUAGAGGAUAGAAGUUAAAAGUGUAGCUUUGAAAUCCAAAAUAAGUUUAUGUCUUGAUUUGAUCAAUUAUUAGAUAUUAAACUGCUUAAUUUCUGUGCCUUAGUUUUCUCGUAAGUAAAAUGGAGACAAUAGUAGUACCUAUCUCAAAGAGUUGUUUAGAGGAUUAACUGUGUUAAUAAAGUAAAGCCCUUGGUCUUUAAUAAAUAUUUAAACUAU